GAGGAAGCAGCCAGGUGACAGAUCAGGGAGCUCAGAGCCAGGAGGGACGCAGCGCUGAGAGAAGCCAUGAGAGCGGAGAUCUGCCUCUGACUGUCUGUGUGUGUGUGUGUGUGUGUGUGUGUUCCUGCUUCCUGUGUGUGUGUGC